rnacentral:rRNA from 1 species
AUACGUAGGUGGCAAGCGUUGUCCGGAUUUACUGGGUGUAAAGGGCGUGUAGGCGGAGAUGCAAGUCAGGAGUGAAAUCUAGGGGCUCAACCCCUAAACUGCUUUUGAAACUGUAUCCCUUGAGUAUCGGAGAGGCAGGCGGAAUUCCUAGUGUAGCGGUGAAAUACGUAGAUCUUAGGAGGAACACCAGUGGCGAAGGCGGCCUGCUGGACGACAGAUGGUGCUGAGGCGCCAAAGCGUGGGGAGCAAACACGAGUAGAUACCCUGCGAGUCCACGCUGUAAACGAUGAAUACUAUCUGUGGGGGGACUGACCCCCUCCGUGCCGCAGUUAACACAAUAAGUAAUCCGCCUGGGGAGUACGGCCGCAAGGUUGAAACUCAAAUGAAUUGACGGGG